rnacentral:rRNA from 1 species
UCCAAUCUACCUUAUAAUGGGGGAUAACUAGUUGAAAAACUAGCUAAUACCGCAUAAGAACUUUAGUUCGCAUGAAUUAAAGUUGAAAGGACCUGCAAGGGUUCGUUAUUUGAUGAGGGUGCGCCAUAUCAGCUAGUUGGUAGGGUAAUGGCCUACCAAGGCAAUGACGUGUAGCUAUGCUGAGAAGUAGAAUAGCCACAAUGGGACUGAGACACGGCCCAUACUCCUACGGGAGGCAGCAGUAGGGAAUUUUUCACAAUGAGCGAAAGCCUGAUGGAGCAAUGCCGCGUGAACGAUGAAGGUCUUUUUGAUUGUAAAGUUCUUUUAUUUGGGAAGAAUGACUCUAGCAGGCAAUGGCUGGAGUUUGACUGUACCACUUUGAAUAAGUGACGACUAACUAUGUGCCAGCAGUCGCGGUAAUACAUAGGUCGCAAGCGUUAUCCGGAUUUAUUGGGCGUAAAGCAAGCCGAGGCGGAUUGAAAAGUCUGGUGUUAAAGGCAGCUGCUUAACAGUAGUAUGCAUUGGAAACUAUCAGUCUAGAGUGUGGUAGGGAGUUUUGGAAUUUCAUGUGGAGCGGUGAAAUGCGUAGAUAUAUGAAGGAACACCAGUGGCGAAGGCGAAAACUUAGGCCAUUACUGACGCUUAGGCUUGAAAGUGUGGGGAGCAAAUAGGAUUAGAUACCCUAGUAGUCCACACCGUAAACGAUAGAUACUAGCUGUCGGAGCGAUCCCUUCGGUAGUGAAGUUAACACAUUAAGUAUCUCGCCUGGGUAGUACAUUCGCAAGAAUGAAACUCAAACGGAAUUGACGGGGACCCGCACAAGUGGUGGAGCAUGUUGCUUAAUUCGACGGUACACGAAAAACCUUACCUAGACUUGACAUCCUUGGCAAAGUUAUGGAAACAUAAUGGAGGUUAACCGAGUGACAGGUGGUGCAUGGUUGUCGUCAGCUCGUGUCGUGAGAUGUUGGGUUAAGUCCCGCAACGAGCGCAACCCUUAUCGUUAGUUACAUUGUUUAACGAGACUGCUAAU